GUUCUCAACAGCUAUAGCGGAAGAAAAUGGAAGAAAAUACCUUUUGGAGAACCGACUCAAUUUUUCUUGGACAUGAUUUGGUCAGUAUCGUAUUCUCCUUCGAUGCGGCUUCCCGGACCCGGAUGCUCGAGAAAAAUCAUAAACGAUGCAGAACUCGCUGAUAUAAAUGUUAAAUUAUACGUAAAAUUAACAUAAUUUUUCACGGAAAACAUGAAUUUAAUGUGGAAAUAUACAAUGUGAGUGUAAACUACAA